UACGUAGGGUGCAAGCGUUAUCCGGAUUCACUGGGUUUAAAGCGUGCGCAGGCGGUUUUGUAAGUCUGUCGUGAAAUCCCCCGGGCUCAACCUGGGAAUUGCGAUGGAGACUGCAAGGCUAGAGUUUGGCAGAGGGGGGGUAGAAUUCCACGUGUAGCAGUGAAAUGCGUAGAUAUGUGGAGGAAUACCGAUGGCGAAGGCAGCCCCCUGGGUCAAGACUGACGCUCAUGCACGAAAGCGUGGGGAGCAAACAGG
rnacentral:rRNA from 1 species